rnacentral:misc_RNA from 1 species
GAUGAAGAACGUAGCGAAAUGCGAUAAGUAAUGCGAAUUGCAGAAUUCCGUGAGUCAUCGAAUCUUUGAACGCACAUUGCGCCCCUUGGUAUUCCGAGGGGCAUGCCUGUUCGAGCGUCAUUAUAACCCCUCAAGCUCAGCUUGGUAUUGGGGCCUGCCAUCCUGGCAGCCCUUAAAAUCAGUGGCGGUGCCAUCCGGCUCUAAGCGUAGUAACUCCUCUCGCUAUGGAGUCCUGGUGGAUGCUUGCCAUUAAUCUUUUAACUUCUAUGGUUGACCUCGGAUCAGGUAGGGAUACCCGCUGAACUUAAGCAUAUCAAUAAGCGGAGGA